CGAAUGAGGAGAUUCAUCGUCAGGUUAUUCAGUAUUAAUGCAGGCUAUGAUGUGAUAAUAGAAUCUUUGUGGUCACUAGAUUAUACUUGCUUGUAUUAUUUUUGGUGGGUAUGUCGGCGUGCAAUUCUCCUGUAGUAGAACGUCGCAACCCGUUGGAUGUUUAUCUAUGGCGUGAAUGGUACCCUUUGAUAUUUUUUAUAUUAAAGACCUUCGAUGUCCUGAUAAACUGUUUGAAAUGUAUACAUAUGGUAGUGACCCGCAAUUAUUUGCGUUAGACUUACCGCAAGUAUGACUUUAUUCUAGUAGUCCGGAUCUAAUGCCGUCGCUGGACAAAGUCUGCUGUUAG
rnacentral:rRNA from 1 species